UACGUAGGCAGCGAGCGUUGUUCGGAGUUACUGGGCGUAAAGAGUGCGUAGGCGGUGCCCUAAGCCUGGUGUGAAAUCUCCCGGCUCAACCGGGAGGGUGCGCCGGAAACUGGGGUGCUCGAGUGUGGGAGAGGCAGGCGGAAUUCCCGGUGUAGCGGUGAAAUGCGUAGAUAUCGGGAGGAACGACCCGCGGUGUAGACGGCCUGCUGGACCACGACUGACGCUGAGGCACGAAAGCGUGGGGAGCGAACAGG
rnacentral:rRNA from 1 species